UGGGGAAUCUUGCACAAUGGGCGAAAGCCUGAUGCAGCGACGCCGCGUGAGCGAUGAAGCCCUUCGGGGUGUAAAGCUCUUUCGACGGGAACGAUAAUGACGGUACCCGGAGAAGAAGCUGCGGCUAACUACGUGCCAGCAGCCGCGGUAAUACGUAGGCAGCGAGCGUUGUUCGGAAUUACUGGGCGUAAAGAGUGUGUAGGCGGUGUUCCCAGUCUGUUGUGAAAUCUCCCGGCUUAACUGGGAGGGUGCAGCGGAAACUAGAAUGCUAGAGGGUGGGAGAGGUAAGCGGAAUUCCUGGUGUAGCGGUGAAAUGCGUAGAUAUCAGGAGGAACACCUGUGGUGUAGACAGCUUACUGGACCACUUCUGACGCUGAGACACGAAAGCGUGGGUAGCAAACAGGAUUAGAUACCCCGCGUAGUCC
rnacentral:rRNA from 1 species